GAUGAACGCUAGCGGCAGGCCUAAUACAUGCAAGUCGAACGGUAAGGCCCUUUCGGGGGUACACGAGUGGCGGACGGGUGCGUAACGCGUAUGCAACCUACCUUUCAGCGGGGGAUAGCCUAGAGAAAUUUAGAUUAAUACCCCAUGGUAUCUUGAAACUGCAUGGUUUUAAGAUUAAAGAUUUAUCACUGAAAGAUGGGCAUGCGUGACAUUAGCUAGUUGGUGAGGUAAUGGCUCACCAAGGCGACGAUGUCUAGCUGGUCUGAGAGGAUGAUCAGCCACACUGGGACUGAGACACGGCCCAG
rnacentral:rRNA from 1 species